rnacentral:lncRNA from 1 species
AAAAUUAAUGCUAAAUUUUGAAUAUUAAUCAAAACUUUCUUAAAAUUUUGACUAAUUUAAUUACAAAAAUACCCUCAUAUAAAAUAAUCUUUUAACCUACUAUAUAAUAAAAUAUGAUAUUUUUAACCUUCUUUAAUCAACGAUUAAGUUUUUUUUAUUUUUUAUAAAAUAAAAUAUCGAAUCAUUUGUUACAACAUAUAUAUACUCCCUUCACUUGCCCUAACACAGAAAUCAUUUCUGUAUCUAAAUUAUUUCGACGAAUGAUACGUUACUUCACUUUGAACCUCACAAUUUACCACUAUCUUAAUUACACCUAAUAACUUAAAAUGAUCAUUGAAUUUGGAACUAAAACAUCAAACAUAAUUAUAUAAUUCAGUCGGUUUGGUUCUGCUUUUGGUUUAAAUAAGCCAAGCGAGUGCCUGAACUUAACACUUUUGUAAAUAAGUAUCUGAACUUUUAAAUUUAACAAUUAAAAUACGCCGCCUAACUUAUAACUAGGUUAGUAGGCCCAUCUUCUCAUGCAAAAUUAGUUAUGUAAAAUCUGUUCCAUGGCAGUCCCUUCUUCGUUGCCAUUUUUGUUUAUCUUUUCGCAUUCUUUUUUAAUAAAUAAAUUCAAACUUCUUACCUCCUCCUCCAGAAAACUCCACCUUCGUCAAUUUCCCUCUCGACCAUUCCUUCUCCCUCCAUUUCUAAACCCUACAGAAUCUCAAUCCUUCCACUUUCUUCUCCACUCUUUCCUUUUCCUCUAUUUUUAAACCCUAGAUUGAAAUCAAUAAAUAAAACCCUUAGCACCCAUUUGGUUCGGGGUUAAGAGGUGGAAUAACCCCUUAACCCCGAAGUUAUUCCCAAACACCCAAUUUGGGGGUGGGAAUAACCCCACCCAACCCCACUACUCCAACCAAACAAAACACUAUUUUAUCCAGCCCACUUUUAUUUUUAUUCCACCUUCUCCAACCAAACACUAUUUUAUCUAUACCUGGACUAAACUCAAUUUUAACCAAACAUAAAAUUACUCUAACACCACCUAGCUUAACCCUGAACCUAACUAUAUCCCUGAAAUAACAAGUUUUUACUUAACCCCGAACCAAACGGUGACUUAAAAAAUAUGGCGUAUACUUCCCCUCCUCUCUGCCCAUGUCUUUCGACGCCACCUUCUUUUGCACAUACCGUCGUAUACCUCCCUCUCACUCUAUCUUGCCUUAAUCCUAAGCUUGAUACACAUCCCCGACUUCCGCUUCUCCAUUCUUCAUGUCCUUCCAGCCCCCUCUCUCCUCGCCCUCUCUACUUUUCCGGUCGUCCAGAAAAUUUGGGAAACCAAAUUUUCACUUUUUUCACAACUUCGUUUUGAUCCGAAUUGAUUUCAACUUAUUUCAAACUCAACCUAACCUUCUCCAAACCAAGUUUAAUUAUGUCUAACAUGAUUUUAAACCUCACUUUGCCGGUCUGUCUAAAAUUCAGUGCAUUACAUUGAGUUUUCAGUACAAUAUAAUUAUUUUUUCCUAAAAAACUAUACAAACUUUUAAAUACGUUCUUAAACUAAUCAUGGAGCUCCUUUAUUUUUUCUUUAUCAUAUUAA